UCCAGGGGUUAUGACCACCCUGCAAUUCAACAACGAUAGCAGUUCUGGAGACUAGAGAGGCUGGCGCUAUCUUGUGUAGUGUGUAAGCACGGCCACCGCUGAUGGAUUGCAGGGUGGUUAUAACCCCUGGAUACCAGCAGUGUAUAAUGUGAUGGAAAAAUGAAUCCAGCCAGCAAAGGAGGCAAAAUGGAAAAUAACAAUACAUUGGUAAGUGCCUUGUAUUAACUUGGCCUACAUGAUAAAUGCCAUUUGCUGGAGUGAGACAACCCCUUUAGGGGUUGUAAGAUACUUCAGUCUGAAUAAUGUCCUAGAAAAAACCUGACCAGCACUAAAAGUUAGAAUGUUGAUUUAUUAAUCAAAGACAUAAAACUUAUUACUGCACAAUUUAGCUUGCAGGAGCAACAGAAUACAUGACAUCUAACAACAAAAACACUGAAAAUACACUGAGGGACAUUGCUGAAAACUAGAGCCAAGCAAGUAUUACUUGGAAUGUGAUUGCUUGCCAUCCACUGGUUUCCUUUGCGCUCGUCUUUGUCAAUGUCUUCACUCAAAUGGAAAUGUCAAAGUUAAAACAAAAUAUACU